CCUACGGGUGGCAGCAGUGAGGAAUAUUGGUCAAUGGACGCAAGUCUGAACCAGCCAUGCCGCGUGCAGGAUGACGGCUCUAUGAGUUGUAAACUGCUUUUGUACGAGGGUAAAUGCAGAUACGUGUAUCUUUCUGAAAGUAUCGUACGAAUAAGGAUCGGCUAACUCCGUGCCAGCAGCCGCGGUAAUACGGAGGAUGCAAGCGUUAUCCGGAUUUAUUGGGUUUAAAGGGUGCGUAGGCGGGCGGUUAAGUUAGAGGUGAAAUCUCGAGGCUCAACUUUGGAAUUGCCUCUGAUACUGUUAGGCUAGAGAAUAGUUGCGGUAGGCGGAAUGUAUGGUGUAGCGGUGAAAUGCUUAGAGAUCAUGAAGAACACCGAUUGCGAAGGCAGCUUACCAAGCUACGUCUGACGUUGAGGCACGAAAGCGUGGGGAGCAAACAGGAUUAGAUACCCCUGUAGUC
rnacentral:rRNA from 1 species